GAUGAACGCUGGCGGCGUGCCUAAUACAUGCAAGUCGAGCGAACGGACGAGAAGCUUGCUUCUCUGAUGUUAGCGGCGGACGGGUGAGUAACACGUGGAUAACCUACCUAUAAGACUGGGAUAACUUCGGGAAACCGGAGCUAAUACCGGAUAAUAUUUUGAACCGCAUGGUUCAAAAGUGAAAGACGGUCUUGCUGUCACUUAUAGAUGGAUCCGCGCUGCAUUAGCUAGUUGGUAAGGUAACGGCUUACCAAGGCAACGAUGCAUAGCCGACCUGAGAGGGUGGUAGGCCACCCUGGAACUGAGACACGGUCCAGACUACUAAGGGAGGCAGCAGUAGGGAAUCUUACGCAAUGGGCGAAAGACUGACAGAGCAAAGCAGAGGGAGUGAAGAAGGUUUUCGGAUCUUAAAAAUCUGUUAUCAGGGAAGAACAAAUGUGUAAGUAACUAUGCACGUCCUGACGGUACCUAAUAAGAAAGCAACGGCUAACUACGUG
rnacentral:rRNA from 1 species